AAGAGUUCAUUUUGAAAGUUAAAGUUAAAGGGAUUCAAGAGGUUAACCCGUCCUGUAUUACAGCCUGGUGAAACCACUCUGCCUUCUCCGGCAGAUGCGGAUGGUCACCGGGCAUGAAAUCACCCAUUGAUAAGGGUCCAGAAUUACUACUUCUUAGCAAGUCUCCUCACACAUACUGUUGGUUUCUCACACUUAACAAUAAACACCUAUUUUUCCCUUGUGAUCUUUUCGGAACAUGAAAAUUGAGAAAGAUACUUCAAACUUAAUUUACAAAAAUUUCUUCAAGUACACAUUAAGUAUUUGAACAAUUUCUCACACCUUCAACUCAAACAGAUGGACGACUAUUGUAGCACUUUUCAUUCAUUAUUUAUGCAACAGAAAUCUGUGAUCUACUCUGUUCUGGGAAGAGAGCCAGGCAUGUGGCCUUUCCCUCAAGGGGCUUACUCUCUUUCACGAGUAGGGCAAACGUGUUUCUAGUGGAAGUUUUCAGUGUUGGUUUUGAAGGUCUCUCUUGAUAUAUAAAGAGCGCACACACCACUGAAGACUUAUUUAGAAUGUGACAGAGCAUUUCUCACAAUCCAGACUAAUUUGGAUUCUUUUCUAAGACAAGGUGACAAGGUGGAUUUUAUUUUGUUUUUAAAUGUAUUCUUCUGUUGCUAGCUCUAACUUGCAGCCUCAGGUGUCUCUUAGACGAACGAUUAAGACCAGAAUUCCCUAGUUAGCACUGGUGUGAGGUGUGAUAGUCUUCAUAUUGGCAUUUAAAAUUUUUAACUUUUAAAAUUGCUAUCCUAAUUUAUCUUUGAGGAUAGAGUUCUUUCUAAACUGCUGGUCUUAUGAUAGGUUAAAGCUCCCUACAUACGGCCCUUUGUAUUGACCUCCUAUCUCAUUCCCUGGAUCAGACAGGCAGAGAACCAUCAAGACUGCUAACUACUGGAGAUCCGAAGCAAAUCCUAAACGUCACUCAUCUGUUGACCCAGGCUUCUUCAUCCACCAGGCCACCUUCCCCGGGGUGAUGGAGACAGAGUGGAAAAGCUGUAUGGACUUAAGAACACAGACCUUAAGUCUACUCGGGAGUCAUGACUAGUCUCAGGGAACAAGAACGUCCACACACACGAAAACAAGGUACUUUAGAUGACACAUUCAAGCCACCUUCCCACAGAACCUGUGCACCCUCAGUCUGGCUCACCAUUUCUCUAAGUAUGGAACUGGACAAUGAACUGACAAGAAUAAACAAAGACAGAAGAACCACCGAGAAGAAGUUACAGAUCCUGGAGGAAGGAGGAUGCCCAACACUAAGCAUCCAACACAACUGGCAUCCUGCCUUCUAGUCUCUGUGUGCCUCAAUCUUAGUGCUUCCUGCCCCUCCCAGUUUUGUCCUUUCCUGGAGGGAUAGGGAAUCUUCAGUGUCAGCUUGAGUGGAUUUGGAGUCACUUGGGAGAUUGGAGCACAACUCUAGGCGCCUCUAAGAGGACAUUUCAGAGGAUUAACUGAGGAGGAAAGAGUCCUCUUGCAUAUGUGUGGCACCAUCCCAAGUCUGUGUGGCGGAUAGAAUAAGGGUUGCAGGAGUAGGGGGGUGGGCAGUGAACAUCCCGAUCUACAGAACGUUAGCUGGCAACCUCGUGCUCCUCAUGCUAUGGCUAGGAGCUACCUCCACAGCUGCAGCCCUGCCUUCUUCACCAGGAUAGAUGACAUCUUCAGAUUGGGCAUGGGAAUGAAUCCUGAAUUCCUUAGGAAUCUUCUUGCCAACCAUGUGGCUGUAUAGUGAGAGAAGUAACUGGCAGAGCCAGCCGUCCUAUGAUGCACCCGCUUUAUUCUCUUUUGUCCAACACUGCUUUUGUUCUGUGUCUGGAAAUACGUUUCAGUAUCUUAGAAGUCAUUCUCUCAUUUGUCUUAGUAUUUUGGCCUCACACUGCUUUUAUAAUCCUAAUAGCAUAUACAUGUUUGGUAGGAAGGCUAACGUGUUUGUUCUCUUUGCUUGGUAAUUCUGAAUUUGUCUAAGCUGUAGGAGAAAACAGUGUUCUUCUCAGCAUUUAUGCUGUGCUCAGUGGCUCACGACCUCCAGGACACUGCUUUUUGUUCAUGUGCUUUGAGCCAAUAUACUUUUUCCAUUAUAAACAAAGAGGAAUGCAAACAAGUCAAUGUCAACAACAGCAUAUGGUCUGAGGUGGAUUUACAGUUCUGUUCAUAUUAGGCAGCUGUGCAGUGGUUUGGUGCUUAGGUUAAAACUGUUUUCUUUCUUUCUUUUUUUUUUUCUUUUUUCUUUUUGUUCCUUUUUUUAUUAGAUAUUUUCUUUAUUUACAUUUCAAAUGUUAUCCCCUUUCCUCCUUUCCCCUCUGAAAACUCCCUACCCCUCCCCUCCUCCCCCUGCUUACCAAUCCACCCACUCCCUAUUCCUGGCCCUGGCAUUCCCCUACACUGGGGCAUAUAACCUUCACAGGACCAAGGGCCUCUCCUCCCAUUGAUGACCGACAAGGCCAUCUUCUGUUACAUAUGCUGCUAGAGCCAUGAGUCCCACCAUGUGUAUUCUUUGGUUGGUGGUUUAGUCCCAGGGAGCUCGGGAGUUACUGAUUAGUUCAUACUGUUGUUCCUCCUAUGGGGCUGCAAACCCCUUCAGCUCCUUGGGUACUUUCUCUAGCUUCUUCAUUGGGGACCCUGUGCUCCAGACACUAUUGUGGAUGCCAGCAAGAGCUUGCUGACAGGAUCCUGAUAUAGCUGUCUCCAGAGAGUCUCUGCCAGUGCCUGACAAAUAGAGGUGGAUGCUCACAGCCGUCCAUUGUGCGGAACACUGUGUUUUCUUAACUUGUCACUUAUUGAAUGUAAGUCAUUUGGGGGACCGUAAUGCAACUGUUCAUUCAGACUGCAGCAUAACACUAGCAUCUCAAUUACAACGUCUAUGGAAUAUCCAAGUUAAGGCUGCGCACCAUGAGUAUAUCCAUUAUAAACGUUUCCAUAUUGUCAUAAACUUAUGUGAUGAGUUUAGCCAUUCCCAGCCCACUUCUCUCAGCUCUUCCCUUUCCUUGCUUCCCCACAUGGCCUUUCCUACUCACCGCUUCCUUUUGUGUGAUCAACUGAAUUCAAUCGGGGUUUCCUGGUUGCGCAUGCAUAGGCAUAUACUGACAUGAGGGAAGGCAACUCAACAGUGGCUACAGUACUGUGGAAGGUGACAUCCACUUCCGCCAACAACCAUUCCCUGCUGCUAAUGGUUUCUCAAUGUGGGACACACAGAGAGACAGACAGACAGACAGAGAGACAAAGGGAGGGGGAAUGAAGAGGGAGGGAAGGAGAGAGAUGAGACAGACAGACAAAGGGAAAGACAUACAGAGAGAGGCAGACAGAGGAAGAGAAAGACACAGACAGACAGACCACACACACACACACACACACACACACACACACACACACAGAGAGAGAGAGAGAGAGAGAGAGAGAGAGAGAGAGAGAGAGGUGAUAAUCCUCAAUUCCUGAAACAAAACACUAAAACAUGUGAUGAUAGGACUUGGAAAGAAAAUAGUACUAAUAUUUUUCUUGUUUCUCUUUGUUCACAAGCUAUCCCAAGAGGGUUACAGAGAUAGUGCAACAGUUAAGGUCAGUUGUUGCUCUUGAAAUGGACCUUGGUUCAUUAUCAGGACCCACAUGCCAGCUUAAAAUCACCCAUAACCCCAGUCUCAGGGGAUAUGAUGGUCAUUUCUGGUCUCCAUGGGCACAGGCACACAGCUUGGUACACAAACAUACAUGAGGGCAAAACACUCACACAUAUAAAAUAAAUACAGCUUUAAAAUAAUGAAAAGGCUAUUCUGAAAAGUUUAUGUGAACAUGAAUCAUAAUUCUGUGCAUAAACAGUGUUAACAAUCUUUUUCUAAUUAACUAAUGGAAAAGACACUAAGACAAUCCUGCCAGUAAUGGCAAUUUUCACUAACUGCCAUUUUGUUUUGAUACUUGUAACAGUUGGUGUAUCUUCCAUGUUUGAAUAGGCUCAGUGUUCUGGCUGCCUAGAAGACAUCACACUGAGGACUUCCAGAGUCUCUUCUUGCUUCUUGGGUACAUCUGGGCACGUGCUGUGGUUCAAAAUAAUUCAGAUUCCCAAAGCCCAUCAGAACCAUGGAGAUGAAUAUCCAGCAAUGCAUAUGGACUUUACAAUCUAUUUUUGCCUUUUAGAGUGAUUUGGUUUUGUGUCAUUUAAAGGCUGUAUGAGGAUCAAGCUUUAAGCCUGCUGACCCCUACUCCAGCUUUCAUUCAUUUCUCUUUAUGUCUGUGCUUUGGUGUUAUACACUAGCAUUGCCCAUUUCUUUGGCUAUAUAAAUCAAGUUAUAUAGCCAAAUAUUUUUAAAAACAUAUAAAAGUCUCCAUAUGUAUUCAAUUACAAUUUCUCUAACACUAUAGUGAAUUUUUUCAAUAACUAUGUAACAAAAACGAGUCUGAGUCAAAAUACUCUGUCCGGUAUGUUACACUCUGCUCAGUGUGUUUCACUGGGGAAGAGGGGACAAUUUCAAGUUCAUCAAUUGUACCACAUUAAAUUAGCCUCCAUCAUUGACUUGGCUUGACAGCUUUCAUCUAUUUUAAUUUACAACAAAAAGGACAGCCAAGAACAGAAUAGUAGCAAUAACACAGUUGGAAAGAGGCUCUGCCUUCUUAGUUUUACACACACACACACACACACACACACACACACACACACAUGCACACACUGCUUCUGUCAUCCGAACAUGGCAUUAGUAUACAGACUUAUGACUCAAAAAGCAUCAAACUAUUGUAUAUCUUCUAAUGUUUACAAUAAAAGAAUUUUGCCUGCAAAAUCAUUUUUUCUGACCUAAACAGAUGUGUUAUAUGUUUCCAUUAUUAAGCAUAGCUUGUAACUAUGACAUUGCAUUUGCUAGAGUAAAAUGCUGUUUGCUACACUUCAGUCCUUUCAGGUGUUUGUGUGUUUAGCAUGCAUCACAUCAUUACUAGAUGGAAUAUCAAUCCACCCAUGACCCUGAACAAGGAGACUAAAGUGUUUCCAGUCCCCUUAACAGGAAGCAAGACAAAUGUAAACACUAAGCAGGCUGCGUGAGGCCAAGCUGUUGGGGCAGAAUGUCAAAGGCAGGUGGAGCUGGGUAGCUGCCAUAGUCACUGACAACCCCGACAAAAGCCAAACCAAACCACAUUGUGUCAGAGUUAGCGUUCUACAAUAGAUAGCUGAAAACAAGAAUCUUCCAGAAAGGGUAAGCAUAAUCCUGACAGUACCAUGAGGUGAUAACCCUUAUCACACUUAAGAACUGAUGUAGUAAGCACUAACUAGUUGGCCCGUCUGUGAGACAGGAUGGAAGCCAUUGCAUAGAGAACUUCCUUUGCAUGCUAAUGUUUAAUAAAAAAUUCUCCAUGUCCUACAUGAAAUCUUUCUACAUGAGGAGUAACUCCAAGUGGAACUGAUCUCUAUACCAGGGGUGAAGCUUAACGAGUGGCCUGAACUGUAAGCUUUGAAGAUGAGCUUGUGAGGCAUGGUGACUUUGGAGAAGACGACAAACCACCAACACACUGUGUCAUCGAUUCUUCAACUAUACCAUGAUGUAACAUGGCUAAGACUACUUCAUGAAUUAUGGCUAUGGCAUGGUUAAGAAGACUUCCUGCAUCAUUUUACGACUUUAUAAUCUUAGUACCUGAGUGCUAAGACACAACUGCUCUUUAUCUUCAUCUAAUUUAUUACCAUUAACAUUUUUGUUUAUACUAGAAAAAAAUAUACAUUGUGGAUCUACAGUCUAUCACAGGAGCGUGGCUGCUGGCAGCAUGAGUGUGCACCAAAGGACGUUUCUUAUGAAAUACAGAUCACAUUUCUUCUCUGUGGGUUUAAAAUGGCAUUCAGUUAUGUUUCAAAUACUGAUACCUUGAUCGAGACAGAAUGAUUCAAAUAUGAAUGGUACCCCCUUCACAUUCUAUCUUCUCUAAGAAGGAACUCUGGGCUAUUAUUUAUGGACACUUUAAACUUUUCAGAAUAAGUGUAUUAUAAAAAAUAAGCUGUAUUAUUACAGCACUAAAUUGCAGGAAUCGUUUACAUAUGUGACUUUGGUAAUGGUCUCCUGCCUGUAGACCUGAUAGAUUAGUAUUCAAAUCUAUCCUUUCGGUUCCCUUUUCUAAACUAACAGUAGGACCAGCAUUGGUAUUUUUCCUUUAAAAACUACAAUACAAACCGAUUUUGUUGCAAAGUAGUCUUUUUAAACAACUUUUAAGUCGUGUUUGUGUGUGCAUGUGUGUGUGUGUGUGUGUGUGUGUAUGCGCGUGUGCAUGUGUGUGUGAUCAUAUGUUCAUGUGCGUGCAGUUGCCUGCAGAGGCAUGCAGUCCCCUGCAUCUGGAGUUAUAGGCAGUAACUGUUAGCUGCUUGCCUAGGGCAGUGGGGAAUGAACUCAGGUCCUCUGCAAGAACAUUAGGAGCUGUUAACCUCUUGGCCAUCCCUCUAGGCCUGAAUGCAUACCUUUAAAAGCAUUACCUUUUAGCCCAUCAAGAUCAAUAGCCUUCAAAUAUUUAAGAAAUAGUAGCCCAUGCUAGUCAUGUCUGUUGUCCCUAAGGCCUCAUGUCAGACAUAUAAGAGUCUUAAGUUUCUGUGUAUGGUGGUGCUCACUUUGUAGUAAGCUGGAGAGUGGGAUGUAUCCAGUCAUUCGGACCCUCCCUUUCUACAGUGUACUCUCCCUCCCAAAAUAAAACAAAAUGGAUCUACUCACAUAACAUGUAUCUAUGUCCAGGGACCUUUUUGAAGAAUGUAGCCUAUUUUAGGUAGUAUUUUCCUGUGCCACUAAAGUUUGUUGUGCUCAAAAUUAAAUAAUGUUUAAGUAAACCCUGGUGCUCCUCCAAACAUCAUUUGUUUAAUAAGAAGAAUGUGAAGGAAUGUCAGGAAUGGUGUUCAGUGCAUACAAAAUAGAGAUAAUAGCAUCAAUUUAGCUGGAAAUGCAUUUUGGAUAGAAAAAUCAAAAGCCAUGGCUCUGCACAGCUGUUUCGAUUUGAGAACCCACUCUGCUGUCCCUCCACUAGUGGGUUUUACUUUACCCAAGAAGUCUACAGAGCAUACACCUCCUAAAAAGAAAUCAUUUGCUUAGCAAUACUAAGGCACUCGACCUGCAUCCGUAAUCAACAGCACCCAUUCGGUACACAUUUUUAUAUAUUAAGCAUUUUGUUUCCUCAAUUUAGUACAUGCACAUCUGUAAGAAAUUUAUUACUAUAGACAAGGUAACUAGUGAUGAGACAAAUCUAGUUUUAUACCCUGGUGAGGAAGCCAUGGCAACGGCCCCAUUAGAAGAUAAGGUUUGGCUUGCUACAAUGUAGCCAAGUCACCUUGGCAGAGAGGAAGUGGCUGUUACCACCAGUCUAUGAAUUUAUUGGUAGGACAAAAGAGCUACGGCAAUUUCCAAGCUUAUUCCAAGUUAGUAGAAGAAAGAAUAAUGAACAUUCUGUUAUUUAGUGACAUGCAUUUGUUUACUGUUAAAAACUGCCUUGUUCCGUUGGCUGUGGUAGCCCAUGCCUUUAGUCUCAGGACUCAGGAGACAGAGGCAGAUGGAGUUUGAGGCCAUCCUGGUCUACAGAUCAAGUUCCAGGACAGCCAAGGCUAAACAGAGAGACUCUGUCAAACACCCCCUCCACCACCACCUCCACCACCUCAAAAAAAAAAAAGAAUAAAAAGAAUUCUGCCUUGUUCACCAUUUAAAAUUAUAUUGUAUAUCAGUGAUCGUUUGGUUCCUGUGUUUUUGGAAUUCAGCUAAGGUAUUAUCUUCCUCUAAGAUACUGUCAUUAGAAGACAGUCAUCCAAUUGUAUUGUAUUAUUAUACUUCAUUGAAGUUAUUGAUAGAGUUCAAAGAAACAAUUCUUUUUACUAUGCAGCUAAAUAUUAGUACUGGGAUGAGAACUGUGAGAGAGAAAAACUUAAAGUAAUCCAUUGUGUGCCAUCUAACUAUUGGCUGUCUGUUUAAUUGCUUUGGAAACACAAGCCCGAGUCUAGUGUGGACUUUCUUAGUCAUCUAAAAUUCUUGAUUCCAUCUUUGCCACCACAAGGCUUGUUUAAGAAACUGGCAAUGGUCAUGGGUGAGAGAUGCCUCUGCUUGUGAGUCUGCAUGUGCCUCUGCAUAGACGGCAGGGGCCAGGGAGUGAAGACAGGAGAGGAAGUGACAUCAUGAAUGAGAAAUGUCAAAAAGAGGAGGCACAGAGUGGAGGCCAGGAUGAGGGCUGGGGUUGGGUAGGGGUGGGAGAGAGGAGGAUAGGGCUGAGCAGGGGUGGGGGUGGGACUGGGGGUGGGGGAGGAGGAGAGGGCUGAGCAGGGGUGCACUCAGGCACCACACACAUAGCUGUCUGGUCAUACGAGUACAGCCUAUAGAAAACAUCAUUUGACUCAUUGUUAGGUUUUUGUUCAAUUACCCUCUUUGAAAAUGAGCUCUGCUACUGGAGCUAUGGGAAAAACAGGAGGAUAAAACAGGACAGGGAGAUGGCCACUCCUUCUCCCAUUUUAAUUAUAGCAUUUUUAUUUGCUUUACAUUUGUGAGUGCCAAGGCUAAACGAAAGGCACUGAAGUUAACAAACGUCUGAAAACCAAUGUUCUCCUUUAAAAAUGUAAAGCAGAUAUUAGACAAAUAGAUGCGCCUCGUACAAUAGCCUGGGUAAAGCUUAACCCAUGUUUGUUUACAUGAAAUAGUGAUCCAUUUAGGGCUAUUAGAAUAUUAUAACAACUUAGAUUUAAGGCCUGUCUCACUUUUACCCAUAAUAGGAUAUUAAAAAAGAAAUAUAUGUAAAACAUUUUAAAAUAAGUACUUACCUCUCAGCCAUUUAAAUAGCCACAAAACUAUUACCGUACAUCAUAAAGGAAAGGCUGGCAAAAUGCCCUUAUUAGAAUAAAACUUGCCCUUUUUAUUCUACCACAAGGAAAAACUUCAACUAAUCUGAAGAAGACUUUUCCAUGGACAUUGCUUAUCAGUAAUAAACACAUCAAAUUUCCAGGGUUUGCCGAGUGUGUUUUAGGGAGCACAGGUACAUGGAAGGAACACAGCCUGCAUCUAAGGACAGAUGCUGCAUUCUAAAGAGGCAAUGGGAAGCAAGAACUCUGCCUAGCUCGUAGGUUACACUUAUGGCCAAUGAUGAUAGCACACAUGGAGCAGUAAGUCAGAAAUGCUGCUCUAAAGUAUUAACCACUUAUAAUCCCACUUGUCACCCGGACAACUGUUCCCUACAUAUUGCUUCUGGUCUGCUUGUUAAGUGGAAAAUUGAGAUUUGGACUAUGUGAGUGUCAACAAUGCAUUGUCUAAAUCCUUUCUGGGGCUAGUUUUAGAGUGCUCGCGUCAGUUGUCAAUUUACACACACUAACCUCCUCCUCCUCUCUGCCUUCUAAACACUAUACAGCAGUGUGGCCUUCCCUUGUAGCAUACGAGUGGAGCCUGCACCGGGGGUCAUGGACCUGGCUGAAUCUUUAUAUACUGCAGCCGCUGUAUGGCAAUGUAUUCUAUAAGCCCCUGCACCGUCCUUCAUGCUGACAGGUUAUCUUGAAGUUUUUUGUUUUGUUUUUGUUGUUGUUGUUUUUGAGACAGGGUUUCUCUGUAUAGCCCUGGCUGUCCUGAAACUCACUCUCACUCUGUAGACCAGGCUGGCCUUGAACUCAGAAAUCUCCCUGCCUCUGCCUCCUGAGUGCUGGGAUUAAAGGCGUGCACCACCACGCCCGGUGACGAAGACUUUAAAAAAAAAAAAAGUCAAAAGAUAUAUGGAGAGUAUCUCACAGUUCUUUUUAAAUUAUUAAUUAAUUAUUUUAUUUAUUUACAUCUCAAAUGUUGUCUCCCUCCUAGUCUCCCCCUGCAGAGCAGAGCUCUUCUUUCCUCCCCUCUCCCCUUUGCCUCUGAGCUGGUGCCCCCCUCCGCACCGCCCCUCCCCUCCUUGCAGCAUCAAGUCUCUACAGGUUUAGGCUCAUCUUCUGCCACUGAGACCAGACAGGGCAUAUAUGUAUAUGUGUGUGUGGGGGGCUAGGGGGCGGUGGUAGGGGUGGGGCUCAGAGGACCUAUGUAUGCUCUUCCAUUGGUGGUUCAGUCUCAGAGCUCCCAGAGGUCUGGGCUAGUUGGUAAUUGUUAGUCUUCCUGUGGGGUUGCCAUCUACUUCAGCUCCUUCAAUCCUUCGCUUAACUCUUCCAAAGGAGUCCCACAGUUCUAAUCAGCAGGAAAAUGACACUUUGAGGAACAAUGAGCUACUCCUGUGAGGACCACCAAAGAAGGGACCGGUGCUGUCCAGGGCAGGGAGCUGCUAGCAAACAGGUGGAUUUAAAAGCAGUAGAGGUUGCUGACUUUUUGUAAAACUUAUCAUUUGAUUCAGCCAUUCCGUUUUUUAGGCAUAUUUAAAGUCAUAGAAAGCCGCAUCUGAAAGGUGUCACUACAUUCCUGCUUUAACUAACGCACUACUUAAAACAGCAAGCUAGGGAAGAAACCUAGACGCCAACGGACGAAAGACAAAUAAAAUGAAGUACGUGCAUGAGAAGAGCCACCCUUCUACGAGGAAAUAACCUUGCCGACUGCAGCAGCAUGCACAAACUUGGAUGGAAAUGGGCUCCCCGCACAGAGAGGAGCGAGGUCAUUUUAUACAAAGCAAAAUAAUCUGGGAGAGGUCCCUACUGCACAAUUCCUGUAGUAAAACAUGUGUAAAACACAGCUAUAAUCUUGCUAAGAGGGUAGGUCUGAUAUUAAAUGUUCUACAAUUCAACAACAGAAAAAACCCCACUGAGGCAACGCCUGGCAGUGAUGUUGCCAAGGCUUCCAUAGGCUACACCUACCUGACGGAAGAAUUACAAGUUUACGCUGCAGAGGGAAUAUUUUUUAAAAUACCACUUUAAUAUUAUUUUAUGAAAGGUCUCUAAUACACAAUACAAAUCAGAAAGAAUAAAAUAAUUAAUUAGAUGAUGGUUUCAUAGAAAACCGUUCUAUUUGUUAUGUUGUUUGUUUGUUUGUUUUUUCCCCAGUCUCAGUAAACUUUCUGACCAGGGACUGAUGAAGCUCUGCGUCCUGGGGCUCGAUGCACAGGACGCUGAUCUGAACUCGCAGUCCUCCUGACUGUUUCCUCAGUGCUACGACUCCUGUCUGCCGCCCUACCGUAGCUAUUAUUUCCAUUUCUAUUGUAAAGUAAAAAUACAGUCAGAGAGCCGCAUACAACCACUGCCAAUCAUUAAGAGAGAAAUAUUGUUUUAUAAUAUGCUGUGUUCAGUAAUGAGAGAUAAAAAUUGACCUGCUAGAAAGUAAGGACGGAAAUGAAGAUUGGUCGAACUCUUCACACGCUGGGAACAGAACAGUCUCUGACUCAAUCCCCAAACUCUGGGAAGCAUCGCCAUGAACAUCACCAUGAACAUCACAUCGCCAUGGAGACUUUACAACGAAGCCACCAAGGCCCAGGGAAGCUGCACCAUUCUCCUAAGUUCACUGCUGGGGCUCACAGGGGAGAUGUCUGUGAAGGCUUUACUUGAAAUGCUAGUUUAAGUUCUCCUUGAUUCUAGAAAAAAGGUCCAGUAAUACUAUUUUUGUUAUAAAUAUAAUAGCCUCGAAAGGUUUUUAUAAUCUAAGAGAUAUUAUAUUGAGAGAUCAGCAUCAAUACUGUCAAGUUUUAAAGUACUGGCAAGGGUGGGGAGGAGAUAUGGGAUAUGGGACAGUCGGAGGGUGGACCAGGACGGGGGAGUGAAAUCUGGAGUCUAAAAUAAAUAAAAAUUAAAUAAAUAACAACAAAACAAAACAAAGAAUAUUAUACACACACAUACAUCUAAUGUAACUAUAAAUCUGCCCACAUCAUCCUUUAGUGCAUUGAUUUUAGCAGUACUAAGAUAAUUUUCUUAGAAAUGUCUUAUCAAGUAUGAAAAUAUACAUAAUAAUAUGUCAACUAAGUUGGGGAAAUAUCUAGAUUAUUAUAUCAAAAUAUAAAUGGACUAAGAUAAGACACAAUAUAAGAUAGAUCCCUUUUUUACACCUACCUAAUGAUAAUAAGGAUCAUACAAAUGUUUUAAAAGUGGUUUAUUUAAUAAACUCUAAUGUAGGAAUUUUCUCCCUAUUGUUUUACAAUCGCCCAAGAUAUCUUUGAAUUUUCCGUCUCUGGAGUUCUGGAUGUAAAUUUGGGUCUAAUUCCUGGGGCUAUUAUGUAUUUAUUAUAUGACACUUGGCAAGUCAUUUUAUUGGUAAGUUAUUUUAUCAGUGAAAUGAAAAACACAUAUCAAAAGCUAUUUAAUAUAUCUGUUAAUGAAGUAAAGUGAGGUCUGCCCCCUCACAUCUUUUGUCUUAUGAUUCACGAUAGAAGUCCUUUUCGUUGCUAAACACACACACACACAGAGUGAGAGAGAGAGAGAGAGAUCCAUAGGUACAGAAUGCAGAUAAGUCAUUUCACUAUGGAAAAUGAAAUAACUGAUAAUCAACAAUGAAGUCAGUAUGAAGAAAGGUUUAUAACAAUGCAGAUUUAAAUGCAUCAGAGUCUCUCCACUUCCCUUCAGGAGGCUUAGAGUCAACAGUGCCAUCUAGCAUCCCGAUGUGUGGAGGUCCAAAAUGCCAUGACAUAAUAGAAAAGAUAUUUUCUCAUUGAGAGAAAGUAUGUGUGGCUAGACCAGGCCUGACAUCUUGUUGCCAAUAUAAUCAAUGUUUUAUUAAUGAUGAUGAGCACCUGAUAACCACUAUCUGUGAAGAAGUGUGAUUAUUGUCCUGCCCACUGCACACAGAGGAGGGGCUUCUGAGACAAUAAGGGAGCAGUGUAACCGCUGAGAGAUGGCGCUGGGCUUGAAAUCAAGGGGAAGUCAGUGCAGAUGCGAAGCCUUUCAUCUCUUCUCUAAAGUUGCUCAUCCGCCGUGUGGAAGAGGAAAAAGUACCUCCCUAAGAGGCGACUUACGGAACUAUGUCAGAAGUUCUCAAGCCAGGUUCAGUGUUAUGGUGGGAGUUGCCAUCGUGGAGACAUGAGAACCCAAAGCCAAAGGAUGAGCUAGACUUGCACACAGUAGCCAUCUUCACCACCACGCCUGGUUUGAUAUGUGACUCUUCACUGUACACAGAGCAUUCCCAGGCAAUUUACAAACAUUGGGUGCUCCCAAACAUAAGACAUAGAAGCUUUUUUCUUACUUAACAGAUUAUGCAAUAAACAUACAGAAUUGUAACGUGACUUGCCUAUGUUCACAGAGUGCUGUUGUGGAGACAGAAUGUGAAUCCAGUGCUUGCUUUAUCCACAUGAACAACAAAAGGAACAUAAAGAGCCAUUGAGGCUCACCGUGAGAAUGUGGAGCACUGCUAGAAUGCGGAGCACGGCUAGUCUAUGGAGCACGGCUAGCAUACGGAGCACUAGGACACACAAAAUCUCACAAUCUAAAACACACUGUUACCACAAUGCGAGUCUUCAUGGCUCACUGUACCAUGCAUCCUUCACUCUUAACCACUGAAUUAUGUCAAAGGAUGGAUGUUCAAUAAACUUGUGCCAUGCAUGGCAAUAAAUAAAUAAAUAAAUAAAUAAAAUAAAAUAAAAUAAAAUAAAAUAAAAUAAGUAAAGACCCAAACCUCACGAAGUCAGAAACAAGUAUGGUGGAAAUAAAAAGUUGUUUGCUGAGGUUCAGUUUGUCAGAGGGAGACCAACACAAUGUAGGGAGUAGGACUGUGGUCUCUUAGACUGUAGGACUUUGAAAAGCCAUACAGUUCCACUCCAUUAAAUAAGUUCACAGUAGCUGAACCUCUGGUCCAAGAAUGCCACCUUCAGAAUGGGAAUGAUUGUAUUGCCUCACAGAAUCAAAGUAAAUUGAUUAUUUAUUUGCAAAGUAAAUAAAAUGUUACAUGUAACAUACAUUUGAUGGUGCUUCAUUAAUAUUAUUCUCCCAUCCAAUAUUUAUUUUGUACUAAUUUUCAAUCUAUUAAUUUACAUGGUCUACGCCUAUAUGAAAAAAAUAACAGGUCAAAUGAACCAUUAAUGGACCUAUCAAGUCAUGCUCAAUAUCAUACCUGAACGUGGGAAAAGCAGAUUAUUACAAUUCUUUAUUUAAUAAUUUAGGGAUUAUAUCAUAGGUGUUACUAUGUAUUUAGAAGUCUCUUAACUUUAUAUACUUUGUUUCAUUUUCUCCCAAGUUUGGAGACAGAGCCUUGUUUUGUAGUCCUGCCUGGCACUGAACUUGCCGUCCUGCCUCAGCCUCCUGGUGUGUGCUACCUACUCCAUCUGGCUUCUGUAUCUUGUUUUCUUUAUGGGAUAAAAUGGGAUGUUUACCCAAUAUUUCAUACAGUCCCUUAUGUUAUUCAGCAGCAUACAGUUAGAAUGGACCACGUUUUAAAGUCUGUAAUAGGCUGUGAGUGGCAGUUGCCUCUAUUACUUUGGGUCACAGUAGCAUAUUUGCCUUGCUGAGAAGGAGAGUUUAGGGGGACCUGCUAGCUUCCAUCUCAGAAUGUAGACGAGAAGGCAUUGGCUGACCAGUGUUAGGCAUGGCAUAGUGUAAGAAACUCAUCUUCGAUAGACCAAGUCAUUGCAAUGAAAAGGUUAACUCAGCAUUUAAAAGCCUAUCUUGAUCAUUCAGAAGCAUGGACAGGGGCAAGGUGCUACCGGAACGUAAACCACACAGCACUGACUUCUGUCAGGGUGGCCACUGCACACAGGACAGACGCAAUCCAUAAUACAUACUAGAUGAACAUUGUAUAAAGGGUUAUAUGGGAGAUGGGUCUUGUACAUGUAAGGUACUGCACAAGUUCAGACCCUAGAGGAAGAAACAUUGGUGGAGUCUGCUUACUAAACUUGACCAAGUGGUACAAAAGACUUCAGAAAAUAGCCUGCAAUGAGAUAUGAAAUAGAAUGGGUAAAUUACAAAAAAAAAAAAAAAACCAAAAAACAAAACCAAAAAACCCAACAACAACAAAAAUACAACAAUAACAAACAACCUGAAUCCCUCUACUAUGAAAGAGUUUGCCAUAGACCCUAAACAACUACAAAGUAAAACCAAAGAGAAAAGUCACACUAAAAUCCGAUCCAUUUCAAAGAGAACAUUGAAGAUGCAUUGUUAACACCUAUUAAAACAACACCACCACUAACAACACUGUACAAUACCGGGUCUUAGGGCAAUGUGAAAUGAAGAACCUAGUACCCUAAAAUAUUUAUCAACUAAAUAAAAUAGUUAAGAGUAAAGGUCAAACAGGAAGUGUCCUGUCCACAGAUAUCAAAUUCUCUCAAUGAAACUCCCAUGGAGUCUAGUGUGAGAUCUGAGGUGAGAGUUACUUAUGCCCCUAGGAGAAGUGUGAGCACUCGGGGCUCACUGUAACUGAACAGAUAGGAAGCCCAUGAGCUUCUGAGGGACUACAACCCCGUCCAAGGCUUGGGCUGCCAACUGUUUAUGGUAGAAAGUAAGAAAAGCACACUGCACGACACCCAUAAGGAAUGUUCCAGCUGCUGCUUGGCCUUCAGCCGUGAGAGACAAUGAAAGGCACCUGCCUUGCCCGAAGUGCUCCUGGGAUCCCAGACAGCACAGGAGAAGCUUCCGACACACACCGGGGCUCCUCACUCCCAGGAUCACAGCACAUCCGCCCCACCUUGCAUUUGUGAGGGUGUCUACACGCUGCUUAUCUGGUGCUUUUCUAUGUCAGUCUAUCAGGGACGGAGGGAGCACAGGCAUCCUUUAUGCAGUCCACAAUCUUCAGGCAGAGCAAAGCAUGUACAACUGUAUUGUAGAGGCCACUUCAUAUCCCCAAACAUCUACACCCAAGAAAGAUGGGUGCUGAGACGGAACAGGACUUUGCCCUAAUGUGCAGGUAUCGGAUAGAUACACUUAACAGGUACAUUCCUGGUAUUUAAUGUAAGAUAUUGCAUCCUUUGGGGAGGAGAUGAAAAUAACAGAGGUGUAAAUUCAUAUCCACAUGUUGAUAGUCAUCAAAUAUCAUAAGCAUCAUUAUCUCUGUAUAAGCAUUAUUUAGGAUAAUUAAAACUAUAUGUUUAUAAAAAUAAGCCAAACUAAUUUUUUCCUAAUGAGAAAAGUAGUAAUUUAGGAAAAUAUAAAAAUGAUUUAGUUUU